CAAAAAGAAAAAGGAAGGGACGCGGCACAAUUCCCCGUGCGAGUUCCUUCCUCCCUGGCGCCUCCAACUGCUUCUCCUUCCCCAGUCUCUCUCUCUCAGAUCGGUUCCGGUCGACGGCCAUUGUCACCGCCUCAGUCGCAUCUCCGAAUCUAUCAUCGUCGGUCACAUCGUUUCGAUCCCGUGGAAUCCAAGUCGGUGUGGAGUAGAAUUGUAAGAUAGCGGCUGUUAUUACGCCGAGGUGUAAAGUCCCGGAGCUUGUGUAAGGCAGUGUUUGAGCUCCUGAUAAGACCCAUAUUUUUAUGUACAAUUAUGGGUUCAGUUUGCUGUGUAGCUGCGAGGGAUGGUAAUGUUACCAAUGUUCAUGGUGGUGGAGCUCUCCAUCGAAAUUCAGCACGCUCACCUACAUGGAGUUUUCGACGGGACAAUAGGAGGCGUGUGGCUGAUGAGCUUGAGGGUUCUCCUUUCGAUAAUACGUAUGUCGACAGACAGGGUAUUAACAUGGAUAAAUUGUCCUUAGGUUCUGAAAGAGGAGCUCUAUCUGAAGGAGAUAGCCCUCCUGGGCAUCUCAGAACUCCCACCUCUCACAAGUCAGCACCUCCUCACACUGAACUGGAUACAAAUAUCAUGAUUCCUUCACCUUCAGACUUAUCCUUGACAAGUCAUGGCCCCGCUGAGGUUAAGAAUUUAGCUGAUUCGCCAAAUAUUGUUCCAUCAACUCUGCCAAAGCCUUCAUUCUUUACACCUUCUUUGACCACUUCAGUCUGUGAUCAUUCAUCGGCUCACUCACAUUUGCUUCCUCCCAAAACAACUCCAUCCAGACAAGCUCGACGAUCACCUGGGCAUCAGUUGUUUAGGCAGGUUUCCGAUAUUCAAAUCUUGGGAUUGAAAUCCACAAAUAACUACUCAAUUUCUGAAGGAAGAUCAUCCUUUGUACUUUCCAACUGCAGCAAUGAUUUUGCCACUGGAUCUCAUUAUGCUUCUUCUGAAGGUAGCUGGUCCAUGAACGCCUUUCAUGAGCUCAUGGCAUCUUCCCAAAGAGAGAGAUGGUCCUUUGAUAACGAACACCUGGGCUCUAGCCGAAUAAAACUUAGUGGGUGUAGCAGCAGAUUUUCGUACUCUCCUUCUGUCGAUCGUGAGACUUGUAGGGCUUGCGCAAGGCUAUUGACCGAGAGGUCUUCUAUUUCAAAUUACGAACUCCCAAUAGCUUCUGUUCUGGCAUGUGGGCAUGUGUACCAUGCGGAGUGCUUAGAGAUCAUGACCACUGAGAUGGAAAAGUACGAUCCGGCCUGUCCCAUAUGCACAGUCGGGGAGAAACAGGUUGCUAAAAUGUCAAAGAAAGCCCUAAAGGCUCAGGCUGAAUUGAAAGCAAAGCACUACAGAAGAUACAAAAGACGUGUCGUAGAUAGUUAUGUUGAUGGGGAAAGUGACGAUUUCGUGUACCAGAAGAUGGGAAACCGAGAUGGAAAAGCUCUGAAGAUGGAUCCUAGUUCCAGUACCAUAGGCUCAUUGAAGCCGUUCUUGAAAUGGCAAUUUGGUUCUAUAGGCUCUAAGUUGAGUAAGCCCUUAUUCAAGGAUUCUGCAUCAAAGAAGAAGGGGUUUUGGUCUAGGCAUCGGAAAGAGUAAAAAACACUAUCAAUUAUUCAGUUUUCAGGGCUUUAACCCGAGACUUCAGCCAUGAUUGGGGAUGACUGUUAACGAGAGAGUGAAACCCCUCGAUGUGGUUCAAUGUGCAAUUGAUGAUCCACAGGAAACAUGCUAUAAAAAUAAUAUUCAGAAGGCAAGGCCUGGGCUAAAGGAUCACUCAUCAUAAGUGGGAUGGAUUCAGGUAUGCUUUCUGUUUGAUUUGCCCGUUCAAAUGCCCCUUUCUCUUGUGGCUGGAACUCGAAGGAUGUCAUCAACUAUGUUUGAAGCAAUGCGAGUGAAGAAUAAAAUGGAGAAUAUUCUCUGAUUUGGUACUGCUUGAAGAGCUUUGGCAUCUAUCUUCAACUAUGGGACUCUUAGGUGAAUUUUCCGAUACCAACAUGAACUAUUAGGGUUGGUGAUAUCCUUCAUGAUUUUUAGCAUUUCCCAUUCUCGUUUAGCCGGUAUCGAACUAUUAGGGUUGAACACGGAUCAAAUAAUCGUGAUUUUGGGGUACCAAUCUCGAUCCUAUGCUUCUCGGGUUUUAGGGUUUGGAUCCCGUCAUCGUUCUGUUCGAAUUUGGUAUUCAAUUUUCGGAUGCUUGUGAAAUACUCCAAAAAUCAAGUACUGCAGAUUAUCCAACUGAGAAGGCGAGGUGUGGUUCGACGAUAUGAAGAAUGAUGCGAAAGGGGCGAGCCUCGCCUUGUGAGAUCGUGAGGAAAGAGGUGAAGAGGUCAAGGAAAGCGAGACUCAGAGAGAGAAAACACGUACCCAAAGAGCACGCGGCAUAUUGACGAGUGCAGAGUCGAAGCGAGUGGUGAGGCGAGUAGCAAUGGGUUGGAGACGUGACGAGCGACUGAUCUUGCCUCCUCGCGUUGCCUUGAGCCUUCCGGUUUUUCCUUGAAAUGACGAAAAUCCUAGAAAACGGUAAAAUACCCAAUUUAAAAUCCUUUCAUCGCUUCUCUCGAGUUUAAAUCUGAAGAUCAAAUUCUUGCUGUAGUUAGACCCACAAUCACAAAUUUUCAUUCUCCAACUCCCAGUAUCAACGUUUGCUAUGAACUAUGACGAGUACUUGGCAGUUAUGGGUCUUGGACGUAGAAAGAUUAGGGAAUUUUAUUUGUCUAGGGGUAAGACGAACAUCAACAAUAAAGUCCUCUCCUUUUUUAGUU